UGCCCGCGGCGGGCAGGGCCCGGCAGCCGCGGGCCGCCCGGCACGGAGGGUCGCCUGUCUGCGGCCACUCUCACAGAACGGGCCCGGUUGGAAGGGACUUCAGUGGGUCAUCUGGUCCUCCCUGCCCGGGCAGGGUCAUCCUAGAGCACAUGGCACAAGAUUUCAUCUCCACGGUUCUGCAAUAUCUCUCGUGAAAGAGACUCCGCAGCUGCUCUGGACAGUCUGUUCCAGUGUGUGGUCAAUUGCACAGUAAAGAAGUUCUUCCUCGCAUUCAGGAGAUGACAGUUGCUGCAGGAAAACCAGGGAGCAACCAAAGGGUAGAUGGAUAGCCAGAAACUGUGGGGCUGCUCAGCAAAACUGCUCAGACUCAAAGAGUUUGCUUCCUUAUGCACAGCCAACAUACGGCUAAGUGAGAAAAUUUGAAGACUACAAGUAUCCUGUUUCUACACUACUAAGGGAAGAGCAUCAGAGGUUCAAAACAGCAAAUGAAAACAGCUGGUGUUUAUAUUUAAAAUAUAGUUUGUUUUAAGUUAUAUAAUCUGCCAAAAUUUAGGAUGCAGAAAUACAGGCCCCACACAUCUUUCACCCAACUGGAUGGCUUGAAUGUGACCAGAAGACAGCAAGAAAUUACUGGAAUGGUCCCCCUAAAAACUACGUUGAUCCAGUGCCCUUUUACAGAUAAUCUCUUUAAUGGAAUUGCAUUCAUAAAUGGUACUUCCCUGUAAGCUGCUCUUGUGUUUGAUUUAAAAACUGUCUAGACUCCAUAAAUAAAAUACGAGUUUAAUGGAUCAAUAGAAACGCAAAAUCUUCACUAAAAAUGUAAGCAGGACUGGUACCUGAAACUGUUUUUAACUAGAUGCUGCUUCAACUAUUCAGCAACAAGUUACUGGAGAUAAGUUAAAGGUGCUUCUGUUUCUAAUUCCUGUAAUAGUCUCAAGGCUUUUGAUCUUUCAUCUUAAUACAGGAGGUUUAAGUAUGCUUUUUAGUUUCUGCUAUGGAGUAAGGAGAAACACUCCUGAAUAAUAGUUCAGGACCAUUCUGGGUAAUUUCUUUUACAUAUGCUGGAGAAGAAAUAGAUAGUUCUUGAGUCCUCUGCUCUUAUGUUCAAAACUUAAGCUAGCCUUUGGUUCAUCUUCUGUUUGCAUAUAGUUUUAGAAAAAUGUACUCACAUCUCAGCUGGUGGGUUUUGUGGGUUUUUUGGGGUUUUUCAGUGGUUUGUUUUGUUUUGUUUUGUUUUGUUAAAUGCUGGGAAUCUAUACCAACUGAGACAAGUCAUGGAUUUCCAGGUCUGGCGUGACAGUUAGAGUGACACUAAUAAAAACUAUCAUAUUUCAUCA